rnacentral:lncRNA from 1 species
UAUAUAUAUAUAUGUGUAUAUACAUAUACAUACAUAGAUAAAACAUUAAGUUUGAGUACCCAAAAAUAACCUAAAUGUAGAUAAAACAUUAAAAAUCAUGUCUUGUAUAACCUUGCAACAUCAAGAUCAAAUAUUUAUAGAAGAUCAAAGAUUCUCUAUGGCUGUAUUUAGAUCGAUGAUUUAGUGAGGGAAAUAAAAAUGGAAAAGUUAAAGAGGAUCCAACCGUUCGGGACGAUUGGAUCCUCUACCAUUUUCCUAAGCAAAUUCUUGAUCCAAACAGAACCUGUGAGCUUUUACCAAUUCGUUUAAUGAUUAGCAGAGUCGUAAUCUCUAGGGAUCCAUUUCUAGUUUCUUCAACUUUAUUUAGCUCCUCCACAACUUAUUAUCACAUAUAUAGGUGGUUCAGAUUUAAUAACCACGCUAAAGUAAAUGAUCAUUAAUAUGCACCCGAGUUGGAAACUGCGAGAAACAGAAUCCCACAACAGAAUUAUUGACAAUGAUGUAGAUUUGAACUUCACCAACGAGAAAAAGUAAUUGCACGUCAUACAAUGCUUUAUUUCACUAAAAUUCAGUAAAUAUAAACGACUCGUUUCUUUCGUAUCUAAUUGGAACGCAUAGCUUGAAACAACUGGGAUAAGAUAGAGGUACCUGGAGGGAGUCGCUUGUGGUUCCGGCUGCGGAUGUGUCGGCCGGCCAGGAAAUGGUGGCGGUCAAAGAGCUGCAGUAUUCCAUUCAUGCACCCAAUCUGCUUGUGCAGAUCCGGGUUUUCAUCGGUUAAAGAAUAUGGAAGCUUUGCAGACAUCUCCACCUCUUUUCUCGAAUUCCAGAAACCCGAAAACUUAUGUUAUCUGAGCUUUCAUUUCCUUUUUUGAUUCUCUCUCAAUGGAUUCCCGCUUCCGUCUCCAAAAACUUGCUGGAAAAUGAGUUCAUUCCGGAUAACCCGAAAUAGCUGCUGGCUGUCAGUUUUAGAGCAUGCAUUCUUUAAGGUUCGUUCCAGCUUAUUACAUGAAAAAGCACUGCAUUAGGCUUCUUCAAACAACUCUGCACUGACAUAUAUUUCUUAUGCUUUUAGAAUUUUGGAUUAGAACUGAAAUAAAAUACAAGUCUUUUGAGUUUCUCAUAACAAAGCAGACAAGAUCUACUGUGUGACCCAAACUAAACCAAAUCAAACUAAGGUUGUGUCACAAUCAAUUGAGGUCGGCUAUAUAAACUGUGUAACCCAAAAGAAUAAAAAAUAAAAGUAUACACCUAACAGUUACCACUACUCACCACCCACCUUCUGUGCUUCAGAAUGACUAUCAGGAGAUAAUUUUUGGGGUUUGUGGCAUAACAAAAUAAAACAAGUUUAGGCUUUGUCUUUUGGCACUCUCAAGAAAGGCAGCUAUAGAUGCUAGAGUUCUGGUGGGGAAAUACUCCAAUAUAGGAAGGCACUGUGUAAUUAAUUUGAGGAGAGAGAGAGAGAGAGAGUGAUAGCAUUGAUUAAGGAAUUGUAUGUGCAAGAGAGAUAGGAGUAUGUGGGUCAGAUCUGGUGUGAAUGUGUGGGUCAUCUGCAAUGGGUAGUGCCUUCCACAUUCUUGUGGACAAAAAAUGUUGGGGGGGUCUGGAGUCUGAACCUUCCUACAGGGGCAUGUGGAGUCUGUCAGAUAGUGGAAGAAAUAAGGAAAGUGGGAUUUAUGUACUGGCAAACCAGCGGAGUGUCUAAAGCCCUUUUUCAACCAGUCACCAGUUCAAUUUACCUAAGUGCCAUCCAAUAGACUUUCAUUUUGAACUAACUGAUAAUAGGAAGAAGACCCUCUAUGUGGACUUCAUCAUUCCAUGUAUGUUGGACUAGCUAAUGCAAUGGUCUGAUCAGUUUUAUUUCUAUUCUUUGUACUAAUGCUGAGUGGAUAUAUAGGAAAUUAGUGUAAUUGCUGCAUAGAGAGUCAUGGUUUGGGCAAUUUGAAAAAAGGUUACCUCCUAAUAAUCUCGAUUUCUUAGUGAAUGAUUAAUUGGUAAUGAAAAUACAUAAUGUUGAACAGUUGCAAACUUGCCAUAUUUCAGGGUUGAGAACUUGAUAUGCAAAUUUAGGUAAAUGCUAAUUCUUCUGAUGCAUACUACUCAUCUUGGUAUCCAUCGCGCAUAACUUUCGUGUAUUUUAGCUUGUAUAGGCGCGUUACUGAUAUUUACUUUCCCACGAUAAUUAAGUUUUAAACCCUUGCUAUUAUUAAUGGUGCAGAAGCCAUAUUUCUUCUACUUCUAGAGCUGCUGGUGAAGAUCCAUUCACAUAAGGUUGUCAAGAACUCAGAACCAGCUUGAGAACACUAGCUAUUUUUGUUACUAGAAGAUUUUGUUUGUGUAUCUCAAACUGGUAUAACUUGACAAUACUUGUCCAUUGAAAAUAAGAGUGUACCUUUUUUGUCAUGUAGAUGCUCUUACAGUUAUACCAGCAUUAAUUAUAAGUUACGUUUGAUGGCAGCGAUAAGAAGACAAUAUUGUGACUUGGACGUCACAUAUUCGUAAAACCCCAAAACAGGUUGUCCACGCGUAAAAGUAAGAUUGCGAACAUUUUGACUCGUUCGUUGCAUGUAUCUAUAAAUGUGACUUAGAAUUUACAUUUUAGAAACCUGGAACAAUGUCUUUCCAGCGUAAAAGUAAGACCGCGUACAUCUGACUCUUUCUUUGCAUACAUUUGUAUGUGUAUAUCAAAGGUAACUUUCAUCACCUGUCCUGUGAAAUUUAGAAAUCAAGACAAAAGAAAACCAAAAUCAAUAACAUUUAUAAUUAAUGUUGAAAAUUGGUCAGGUCGGGUCAUCCAUGUGGGCAUGAUCCAUGUCAAUAAUCCAUUAUCCAUGUAUUUGAAUAAUGAGGGGAUGAAAGAGAGUUGGUAAUUGAGAUAACUUCUCCCGAUAUUUUUUUUUGUAUUCAGUGUUAUCCGUAUCUAUAUACUGCACCAGCAUAUAGAUUUUUUCUCUCUCUCUCCUCUCCCCUUCUCUAUGUUAAAUAUAGAACAAAAAGGGGCUUUUGAACUGUGGAUUAGAGGCAGUGUUCAUAUCGUUGUACUGUCAAUCGUGGGAUUGUGAUAUCUGUUUCAACGCUCGUGAUUCAACCUCGGAUCUAUUUCGGUUAAGGUAAAAUCGUUUCAAUUCCUCUAUUUAUUAUUUUUUGAUUAGACAAUUCUAUCUACAAUUAAGCUAUUAAAAAAAAAACUUAUAAUUAAACAUUUCAGCUUAUUGUGUCAUGAAUUAUUUUUGUAAUUCCAUUCAUGAUCACUUUCAUUUAUGAUAAUUAAGAGCUGACAUUUUUAUAUCUAUUGUCAACUUAUGUAUUUAUAGUGAAGCAUCAAUAUCUGAAGAAUAAGUAUCUUAUUAUAAGCACUUUGAGAUGGGAAUGUAAUAAUAUAUUUGCAACAUGAGAGAUGAGGUAAGCAUGAUACUUUCUAAAUUAUUGAAUAUAUUAGGAAUAUAUAUUGAUUCUUUGCAUGCAUGGGGAGGGGUGUUUGUGUACAUUUUACGUACAUUUGAUAUAUAUUUAUAUAAUUGAAGAAAUACUUCAAUCCUUUGGCUUUUUUUUGUUAUAAAAAUUAGAAGAAAAGUGGUGAUAAUGAAGGUUGAGAUAGGGAAUAGAGAGAGAAAAAGAAAGCACAACCACAUGGAUAAAGUGAAGAGAUCACAUGAGGCAAGGACCCAACCUAAUUAAGAUAUCUAGAUAUUGAUAUAGAUAUAUAAACAAGGACGGAUCUAGGAUUUUAAUUUUAUGGUGGUGAAAGAAUGUCUAACUCUAACUUAGGAUGCUAAUUUUAUGGUGGUGAAAUAAUACGUAACUCUAACUUAGAAAAUGUGUCAAAAAAAAUUGAAGUAUCGUAUUAAUUUUAAAGGAUCUCUAACUUUUCCUAAAAUUUGAGUUAAAAAUGAGUAAUUUCAUCGGAUUUUCUUUAAACUUGUACACAGUAAAUGUGUAGAAUCUUAUAAUUCGGUGCGUGAACACUUGCACUUUGAAAUUAACCUAUAAAUUAUAGUAUCUUAUUAGUCUAUUAAUAAGGGUUUAUUUAGAUUUUUGGGAUGUCAACCCUGAGUAAUUUUGAAAUCAACUUACAAAUGAUAGUAUACUAUUCGUAGGGUUUGUUCAGAUUUUUGAGAACACAAUCGUCCCGUUUCGGGGUCUAUAUUUCAAUCAUAUAUCCUAAACUACGUUCCAAGAAGCUACUGUCCCAUCAGGCCACAUGAUUGGCACAUGAUGUUCCGCACCCCACUCCACCAAACCAAUAUCUCCACGUGCAUUAACACUUAGGCUCCGUUUGGUAUGUUGAAAGCCAGCUUUGUUUUAAGCUGUUAUUAAAGUAAGAAUUUUUAAUUUUUUUGCUUUUGUAACUCUUUACUUAGCUAAAACUAAGGAAAAGCAAAAACAAAAAACACAAAGCUAAUUUGAUUGGCUUUUUUGUUUAUUUUAAGCCAAAAAAUCAGAAAAAAAGCUGAAAAAAGCUAGUGCCAAACGGAGCCUUAGGUUGGGGUUUAAUGCAAGUCAAUUCUGAAAAGGUCUUAGGCUCUGUUUGACAUUAAUUUUUUAAUUUAAUUUUUAAUUUUUUUGUUUAAAAUAAACAAUAAAGUUAAGAAGAGUUAACUUUUUUUGGCUUUUCUAGUUUUCGGUUUUUUGUUUUUUUUUGUAUAGUUUAGCUAAGUAAAGCCACAAAAAAAAAAGGCCAAAAAAAUCUUGACAUUUUUUCGUAACAAGUAACAAAACUUGGUUUUUAGCAUUACUAAACGUAGCCUUAAUCUAGUUUUCCACCCAAUCACAUAAAAUGAGAGAGAGAGAUUAGAGAGAGAGAGAGCGUCCUCCAUGCAAGGUAACCAUCACAAGUUGUGUUAAUUUAAAAAAAUGACCCAACUCUUGAGUAAGGGGAUAGUGUUCCAUGUUAGAGGAUUAUUGAAUGUGAGGUAAGUCGAGAUUCUUAUCUUAUCCCUUGAUCACAUGAGAGAGAGAGAGCACUGAUGGAUUUUCAAGGGAGGUGAUCCCACCUCUAAAUUUUUUUUUAAAAAAAACACUACUUAUAAUAUACUAUAAUUUAUAAAAUAAUUCGUAAAUAAAACAAUUUUCAACCCUGUUGUGUAGCAUAUCCUGUGAAAUUAGUAAUUCUUAACUCAGUUUCAAAGAACGGCUAAAGAUUAUUCAAAAUUAAAAAUAUUUGUAUUAAUAAAAAUUACAUUGUAUUUCAAAUUUUCUUAAAAAAAGUUCUUAUUUAGGGGGUAACAUAUUAUUUCGUACCCCGAGUUAUAAUUCUGACUCCAUAAAAGAGAGAAUGUACAAAAUUGCCGGCUUUUGAAGUAAAAGUACAAUAAUUGAACCAUUAUAUUGUUUCUAAAUUGUUUUCGCAAGAUUAAGCCUUAAGGAAGAACAUUGAGGAAGGCUUUAGAACCAAGAAAUAGGAAGUUCCUAAAAACAUUGCAUCACCAUUAAUUAGGUAAAUGACAUUAAAUUAACGAUAAGCGCCACAUGCCAUGGAUGCCAGGUCAUUGAAAUCAUAGUCAUCUACUGGCUUUCACAUGCCACUUGAAUAUACUUGACCCUAUCCCCAUCCACCACGCGUCGUUAAAAAAUUAUUUUUUAUUUAAACAAGAAUAGGAACACCACAUCCAACUCAUAAAAAAAAUCAAACACAGGGUUACCCAAUGGACCAGAAAUAGAUUAGAAUACUCCUUUAUGCUACCACCUCAAAAAAAAAAAAAGUAAAAAUGUCGAGACGAAAUCAACUUUCCAUUUUUUUGUUAAUUUUCGUGACUUAAACGGAUGUCAUUGAAGAGAAAAAAAAAAACACUUGUCAUCGAUUCAAGUCAUCACCUACCUCUACACCCCUUAGAAACAUAGUGAAUAUAUGUAAGAACUCGUGACACGAAAGAAAAAGAGAAAUUUACGUAGUUGGUAAUUAUUAUCCACAGGGCUUCAAACCCCAAUUGCACUCCUUUUAAUUUUUGUUAUAGUGAAUUUACAUAAAUAUUUUUCUAUGUAAUUAAAAUAUUUGAAUAAAAUUAGAUAUUUGGACCAGGCCAUAUAAGACUAUACUCCGAUCUUAAAUGGGUCUCCACUUGUAGAAUGUGGGAUGAAUCCCUCAAAUUAGUUGAUCACAUAUUGAAUAUCAAAAAAUGAAUAGUUGAAUAAAUUCAUGCUAAUAAAAAUAUAAAAAAAGAAUUUAAUUUGAGGAAAGAAAAAGUGUAAGAAUAACUUGCGAUCUUUUUACUCUUCUUUCUCCAAAGGGUAGUGCUAUGGGUACCCCAUUUUAGGUACUCUAAAUGCACACAUAGGAGAGAGAUAGACACAAGAGAAGUGGGCCCCACACAUUUGGGGUGGGCUCCACACACUUGGGGUGUGUAGGGUCCACUUCUCUUGUGUGUCUCUCUCUUAGAUGUGCAUUUAGGAUACUCAAAAUAGGGUACCCAGCAUUUUCCUUUCCCAAGCAACAAGUACACACACAACUAGCAUCUUAACUAGCCCUUUAGCAUCUCUCUCUCUCUCUCUCUUCAUAUUAUUCUUUGGCACUGAAAUUUAUUUUGGAGGUGAAUGGCGAUGAUGCGACAUAUCAAAAUGUCAUUUGACUAAAUCCUCUUGAAAAAGCUUAGUCAUCUCCAACAAUAAUUGAGCAUGUUUCGCACAGUUAAUACGCUUUAAUUUCUAUUUUUUUAUUUUAAAAAUUAAGUCAAAGUAUUUAUCAAUAAUUUUUAUUAUUAUUUAUGAAUUAAAAAUAACUUAUAAAAGCUAAAAAAACUAAUUCUUGAAAGUUUUAUUUUAAAAAUUUUUAACUUCGCUUUUGAAUAAGCAAAUUAUAAUAUAAGUUCAGUUAUACCAAACACUCUCAUGUCAAUAAGGACUUAUUACUUUAUCUACUUUUGCUAGCCAAUGUUUCAUUUACUCUCCAACAAAUCUAACUCUCCAUUUCCUUUUUUAAUUAAAUAUACAUAUUUUAUAUCUUUUUGAAUAAAAGUGAAGGGAGAGAAUUCAAUAAAGUAAGAGUAAAAAUUUGAUUUUAGAACAAUAAUAUUUUAUGUGUUCUCCUAGUAAAUAGUAACUCAUAUAUUUAUUGAGUUAUUGUAGUUAGAAAUUAAAAUAGCUAACUAGUUAAAAUAGAUAAAAUGGCAAUUUACUUGAGAGACCAACUAGAUAUAAUUGGACCUGGAAAAGACCACCAUACCCAUUGGCAUGGUUUAAUGGAGUAGAUUGUAGGCUCAGCUUAGGUCCAUUGCAAUAGGGCCAUGACCCCAACCUCUAAAUGGGUUGGCCAGAAAUGCAAUCCUAGCAUGAAAAGUUCUGAUUCAAUACUUUAAUUGUAAUAUACCGUAACUAAUAUACUAUAUUAACUAUAUAGGUAGGGAUGGCAAUUUGACUCGAAGAACCCGAUACCCGUCGGGUCCCGCCCCGUUUAGGGCGGGCUUUGGGAAAAAUUAAAACCCGAUUAAUAAACGGGGUGGCGGGGGAGCCUCCUUCAUCAACCCCGAACCCCGUUACCCGAUUAUAUAUAAAAAAAUAAAUUAAAUCAUUUUUUUUUAAAAUAUUCAUAAUAAUCCUUAUUAUAUAUAUAAUAAAUAACAAUAAUUAUAUAAAAAUAAUAUAUAUAUAUUAAAAAUUACUAACGGGGCGGGGCGGGCGGGGACGGGGGUGGGUUUGGUAAACGGGGGGGGGUUUUGGGGGAGGCCCAACCCACCCCGUUGCCAUCCCUAUAUAUAGGCAAGUAGGGCAGAUAAACGAGUCAAGCUACUCGAUCUAUGCUCAUGUUCGGCUCGUUAAAAACUUGUUCGAUAUUGAUUUAUUAAAUAAGAAAAACAAGCGUUAACAUGUUUUUUAAGCUCAUUAAGCUGUCAAACCAAGCGCGGACAAUAUAUUACCCAGCUCAAUAAACUUAUAAUGUUUAAAAAAUUUAAGCUACUCGAGUUUAUCUUGAUUAAAACUCAGUUCAAUUUACUUGAUAAACAAAUCAAACUCGAAUAUAUUUUUAAUUUCGUUAAAUUUUAAAACUAAACUUAAACAAUUUACUCGUUGCCCGUUGAACUCGUUUAUCAGUUUUAUCAAGUCGAAGAUCAAUUGGUCAAAUGUCAGAUACUGUGGUAAGAUCACAGAUCAAAUAAGUUAUGAUCUGUCUCAGCAUCAAUCUUAGCCAUCCGUAGGAUAUGCAAAGGACACCUCAUCUAGGCCAACCUCACUAGGUUGACUUUAAACAGGUAAAUAAAUUCAAUCAAGAGAUCAUCUGCAUGUGGUAAGCUUGUGACCAACUUAAAGUUUUAUAUUUUCCACUCUAUUAAUUUAUGAAAAAUGCUAUGGGUAUCUUAUUUUGGGUACUCCAAAUACACACCCAUGAGAGAGACACACACACAAAAAGUGGGUCCCACACACCCCAAGUGUGUGGACCCCAUCCCAAAUGUGUGGAGCCCACUUUUCUUGUGUCUAUCUCUUUCAUGGAUGUGCAUUUGAGGUACCCAAAAUAGGGUACCCAUACCACUACCCUUAAUUUAUUUUUGUUCACCUUUUUUGAUGAGAAAAAUAAAGAGGAGAAUUUUCAACUUGCAGCCACAAUCCAAUCACUACGUCGGUGGAAGAGCGUCUCAGCCAUCAAAUCAAUCAAUGUUUUUAGCACUCCGACCCGCAAGAAAAGAAUGAAAAACAAAACUAACUGUGUUUUCUAAUCUCAUAUCUAAUGAAAAAAAAUACUAUCUGCUGGAUAAUACAAGGGAGUGAUGGGAGAUAAACCUAUGAUAGUAGUCCCGGCACAGGCUAAAUAGGCCCGUGUCUGAAUAUCUCCAAAAAUAACUCAAUUUUGGGACACCAAGUUCAAUAUGUUAUAAUAUAGAUAUGUUAAAUAAAAAAAUGCCCAUUUUGGUUUUAGAAAUCCAACCCACUUGGAUCAACCAUGUAGCAAGAGAGGUUGAAUGGAUUAGCGAUAUUACCCAUUGAAAAUGAGUUUGCAAAAAGUCUAGAUUACGCAAGUUUAAUGAUACAUUUGCCUCUAAAAAUGCAAGAAGAGCUGUAUUCAAGUGAUAUUUUUUGUGUCUAGCCAAUGUAACUAGUAUAUUUUCUGUAAAGGAACCAAGGAUAUUCAAUUGAUAAAGAUUUAUAUUUUUGUAUAUGUGAUUAGGUAUAUAUUAGUAAAUGGUCAAUACAUGGUAGUAGCACUUUUGUAUAUGGGAUUAUGACUUUUUGUGUACUUAAUUAUAUAUAUAUAUUGGUAAAUUGAAGUAAUAGUUUUUUAUGUGUAUUCCAAGUUUUCAACUUUGAUUGAAACUCACAAGAGAUGUGAAUUUUUGUUACAAUAAUAGUCUCGUUUUUUAUUGAAAAAAAAUAAUGUAAAGUGUUUCAAAUUGAAAUUAAGGUAUUAUAGUCUCACGAAACUCAGGUGGCAAACCGUCCAUGAUGAGCUUGUUUUCAUCUAUGGCCAUUUGACCGAAAAUGGUGUUUCUUUCCAUCUCUUUUCGUACCACAAUACUUCUGUACAUCUUCAAUCUGCUGCGAAAAAUCUCGCAGAUAAACUCGAUUUCUCCCUUCAGACCUGAAGUCAAAUGCAUAGUUUAAAACAAGAUUUAAGAAUGUUAAUCAAUUAGUUUCUUUCUCACUCCUGUUUUGCAGCAAAAGAGCAGAUAGUGCCCCUUCGUACCUCGUCGUGACAAGUUUGUCAAUGCUAUCAAGUGAACUACUAAGAACAGUUCAAACGAAUGGGUGCAAUCAGAUUCAAACUUCCCUCUUUUUUUGGAGGUAUUGAUUGUCCUAAUGAUCCCGAUUUUCAUUUUUUGGAGCAGCACUUGUUAUCUUCCCGAUUUGCUUUUAGCCUUUUGGAUAGCACUUGCCAGCUACCAAUUUUUUGAUUGUUCUGGGAUUCUGGGAAGAGUAACCUUCUUUUAAGAACCCUUUUAUGGAUCAUCACGGUACACUUUGGAUUUGUUUUAAAAAAAUGGUUUCAACGAGGCAUUUCGGAGGCUUAAAAAUUUGGGGGGAUUAGGAAUGUAACCGCAGCUUUGAUACCAUGUUAGAAUUUAGUUUAGGGCGGCAAAAGCGAAAAAUAUAAAGGCUGUGUAAAGUGGGUGAAAGAGAAUAAAUGGAGAUGGAGAUGGAGAUGGAGAUGGAGUUAUAGUUGUUCUCAGAGCAAAUUCUAUAGGAUUUUUUCUUUCUCUGGAUUUUACUGUAAUUGGCCAAAUAAUGAGAUCUAGGGUUGUGGUCAACAUAUGUGCAGAUGUAUUAUUUAUUAAAUAGUGUAGAAUAAUACUCUAAAAACACCAAAUAAGCUCUCAAAAUUAAGAUGCCUUUUUUUAAGAAAAUAAUAAUUUUUUGUGUUAGUAAUAUUAUUGUUAUUUUAAUAAAUAAUUUAUCGGUUUCCGGUUUAUCUGGAGGAGGGGAGUUGGAACUGUAAAAAUUUUAUUUAAGUUUUAAAAAAAUUAACUAAAGACAAAAAAAAAGGUAAUUUAUUUAGAAUUUUUUGUUUUAGUAAAACUUUUUUUCCAAGUUACGCCUUGUUUGGACUAAGCUUAUUUUGUAAUUUUGGGUUAAAAUAACCUAAUUUUUUAUGGUUGUUUGGGCUAAAUUUAUUAGCUGGACGGUUGAAUUUUUUUUAAACAAAAAUCAAGACAUUAUUUACAAAAAAAAAACUAUAUUUUUGUGUAGCUACCCCGAACAACACAAGUGAUUUUUUUGUCCCACUUUUUACUUUUAAUCUAAAAAUAAAUAAAACAUCUAAUUUCUUUUAGCUAGCCAAAACGGGACCGUAGAUGGAAAUUUUUAUAUUUUUGGACUGAAAAAAAAAUCAAAAUAAAAUAAAAUUUUAUUAAAAUUAUUUAACUCAAAAAUCAGCUAGAACGAAAUUCUAAACAAGUUAUGCCAAGCUGGAUUUUAAGACCCAAGCCAUUCCGAAACUGUUCAGGGAGCGGACCAUAGGUCCAUUGGUGUGAUCCACAUGAUAAGGCCCACAAUUCUAGGCCCACAAACCCAAGUCUGCCGAAAGGGCUGGUUUGGGAAAAUUAGUUGUCACGCUCAGACCCACACACUCCUUCAAUUCCAAUUCAUUUGUCCACUUUCCUAUUUUGAAUGUCUCGAAAUACUAGGGGUAUUGUCAAAAAUUGGUGAAGCCUCAUUUUUUUGUGUGGCUUCUCUAAUAAUAAAAGGGUAAAUGUGUUAAAUUACACAUAAACUUAAAGGACAAUGACGUAAAUUUAAACCUCAUAAUUCAGUGAUGGAAAGUAAUUAACUAGAAACAACAACAAUAAUAUAGCAAAGAUAAUAAUCUAAUCAGAAGGAAAUAGGAGUUAGAAGAAAUCGCUCUUUUUAUAGAACAAGCAUCCCCUUCUGCAUCUUUUUUAUUCGGAUUGAUUCGGUAUUUUAUAAAAUCAAUUUAGUCGAUUCUUGAAACCUAAAAACCGUUUAAGAUAGUUCAGUUCGCAGAUAUGUGACAACUGUUUUGGUUCCGUUUCAGUUCAAACAGAAAAAUAUUAAGAAAUAUAUUUGUUAUUACUCCCUAAUUCCUACCUUACUUGUAGUUAUAGUAGACUUCGUUUGCUAAAAAAAAACUAUUACCUACAAAUAUGUGUGCCCAAAACGAGUUACCAAUCACAUUAACCAUAUCAACCACCACACCACAAACAAGAUAUACGGGUUCGGCCAAUUUUGCCUACAUCCACGGGAGGAACCAUAAUUCACUAUUUCUGUAAUGAAUUACAAUGAGUCUAAUUAGGGAGGAGCUCAUCUCCACUCACCUCUCAGCACUUCUCUCAUUCUUCACCAUCUCUCACUGUCUUGCUUCUCACAGCUAUCAAUUCUAGCCCACUCUCUGUCAGAUCUCUCGGUACUCUCACUAGCACCAUAGCACUCCCCCCAAAUACAUAGCCUCACUCCCAACCCCCUCUGCACACAGCAACAUGCUGUUGGCGCCCCAUUAAAUCCCAAGGAUUACAUUUCUUUCUCUGCACCUCUGGCACCCUUAUCUCUCUCUAGCAACCCUCUCAAUUUUAAGGCCUUAGAGCGAAAGAUGAGGCUCAUGGCUGAGCUCAUUCGUGCCUCCAUUCUUGACAUGGAGAGCCUCCAUCUGUGACUUCUUCUCAGCCGCAGCAGCUUUCUCUGCCAGAGCUGUCUAAGCACUCUUCUCUUCUUUUUUCCUCUUCUCCUUCUCCUCUUCUCUUCCAUCUAGAUGAAUGGAAAUUGGGUUGGCUUAUGGUGGCUUGGGCUUGAGGAUGUCUUUUUGGGCUUGGGCUUCCAAUUGGGUUGGGCCUCCAAUUUUUUGGGGGGGGUGGCUGGAUCCAACAAAAUAGAUGUUUCUUUUGAGAAUUAAUUAUAUUUUUAUUUCACGUGUUCUUUUUCAUUUAAUUGUUUAUUUUUGAACUUAAAUCCUAUGGAGUAAAUGAGUUAUGUUGAACAAUACAGUGAUUGCAUAGUUAGGUUCUGAACUCGAACCAAACCGUUAACCACAAAAUUGAACCAAACCACAGGCCUUCCAAGCUUGAUCUCUCGACGCAGUGGAGUAGAAACCACAUUAUUGUGAAUACUCGUUAAGAAUUUGGACGAAA